AUUCUGACUAUUUUCUAGUUCCCUGACCUCGGAUUCUAUAUUUGAGUUUUGAGUACCUUUAGCAUCCUUGACCUUGUCUUUCUAUGGACUCUGUAUUAUCGCCUAUGUAGGGCACACGUUAGCUCAGCCACUCUAAAGUUCAGUAUAUGUACCUCCAUUUAUUUUUUUACUUCAUUCUGGUUACGGUUUCCCUAAAUUCUGUGUGUAGGGGUUAUCCAAUCCUGAUAUUACAUGUCGACAGGGCAUAGCCCAUACAGGUUUGGGACAACAGUUAGCCAAUAAUGAAGCAAGCUUUGAGCAAAUGGAACACAGGAUAGUCCAGUUUGCCCAAGCAUUACAGGCUAUACAGAGUAAUACUGCCGGUACAACAUGUACCGCAGCCAGGGUCUACUACAGUGGGGUACACACAAUCCAUGGGGCUCCGGUGCGAAACUGCUCUGUUUACACGCACC